rnacentral:rRNA from 1 species
UACGUAGGGGGCAAGCGUUGUCCGGAUUUACUGGGCGUAAAGCGCGUGUAGGCGGCCACGCAGGUCCGUUGUGAAAACUGGAGGCUCAACUUCCAGACGUCGACGGAAACCGUGUGGCUAGAGUCCGGAAGAGGAGAGUGGAAUUUCUGGUGUAGCGGUGAAAUGCGCAGAUAUCAGGAAGAACACCGAUGGCGAAGGCAGGUCUCUGGGCUGAAACUGACGCUCAUGCACGAAAGCGUGGGGAGCAAACAGG